CAUCGUGGUCUUUGCCUUACUGGGCAUGCAGCUCUUCGGAGGACAGUUCAACUUUGAGAAUGAGACACCAACAACAAACUUUGAUACGUUUCCAGCAGCCAUCCUCACUGUGUUCCAGAUUCUGACCGGCGAGGACUGGAACGCUGUGA